GCCUGGGUGGCUCAGUCGGUUGAGCGUCCGACUUCAGCUCAGGUCAUGAUCUCGCAGUUCGUGAGUUCGAGCCUCGCAUUGGGCU
rnacentral:tRNA from 1 species